GAGGAUGCGAGCGUUAUCCGGAUUUAUUGGGUUUAAAGGGUGCGUAGGCGGUGCAUUAAGUCAGCGGUAAAAGCCCGGGGCUCAACCCCGGCGAGCCGUUGAAACUGGUGUGCUUGAGAGGCCGAGAGGUAUGCGGAAUGCGCGGUGUAGCGGUGAAAUGCAUAGAUAUCGCGCAGAACUCCGAUUGCGAAGGCAGCAUACCGGCGGUCAUCUGACGCUGAGGCACGAAAGCGUGGGGAUCAAA
rnacentral:rRNA from 1 species